rnacentral:tRNA from 4 species
GCCAGAGUGGCGGAAUUGGCAGACGCGCCGGAUUCAAAAUCCGGUCCUCGCAAGGGGGUGUGGGUUCAAUUCCCACCUCUGGCACCA